UGGGGAAUAUUGCACAAUGGGCGAAAGCCUGAUGCAGCAACGCCGCGUGAGUGAUGAAGGCCUUCGGGUUGUAAAGCUCUGUCUUUUGGGACGAUAAUGACGGUACCAAAGGAGGAAGCCACGGCUAACUACGUGCCAGCAGCCGCGGUAAUACGUAGGUGGCAAGCGUUGUCCGGAUUUACUGGGCGUAAAGGAUGCGUAGGCGGAUUUUAAGUGAGAUGUGAAAACCCUAAGCUUAACUUGGGGACUGCAUUUCAUACUGGAAAUCUAGAGUGCGGGAGAGGAGAAUGGAAUUCCUAGUGGUAGCGGUGAAAUGCGUAGAGAUUAGGAAGAACACCAGUGGCGAAGGCGAUUCUCUGGACCGUAACUGACGCUGAGGCAUGAAAGCGUGGGUAGCAAACAGGAUUAGAUACCAUGGUAGUCCACGCCGUAAACGAUGAGUACUAGGUGUAGGAGGUAUCGACCCCUUCUGUGCCGCAGUUAACACAAUAAGUACUCCGCCUGGGAAGUACGAUCGCAAGAUUAAAACUUAAAUGAAUUGACGGGGUCAUAGCUGUUUCCU
rnacentral:rRNA from 1 species